UACAGAGGGUGCGAGCGUUGUCCGGAAUCACUGGGCGUAAAGGGCGCGUAGGUGGUUGGGUAAGCGUGUGGUGAAAGUCCAGGGCUCAACCCUGGGAUGCCGGUGGAUACUGUCGGGCUCGAGUCCGGAAGAGGAGUGUGGAAUUCCUGGUGUAGCGGUGAAAUGCGCAGAUAUCAGGAGGAACACCAAUGGCGAAGGCAGCACUCUGGGACGUGACUGACGCUGAGACGCGAAAGCGUGGGGAGCAAACAGG
rnacentral:rRNA from 1 species